rnacentral:rRNA from 1 species
GGCUUAACCGUACAACGUGCAAGAGACACUACAGGACUCGAGACCGGGAGGAGUCAGAAGUAUUCCAGGGGAGCGGUAAAAUGUUAUAAUUCCCUGGAGGACUACCUAUGGCGAAGGCAUCUGACCAGAACGGAUCUGACGGUGAGGGACGAAAGCCAGGGGAGCGAACCGGAUUAGAUACCCGAGUAGUCCUGGCCGUAAACGCUGUGAGCUAGGUGUUGCGUCAGCGACCUGCUGGCGCAGUGUCGAAACGAAGGUGUUAAGCUCACCGCCUGGGAAGUACGGUCGCAAGACUGAAACUUUAAGGAAUUGGCGGGGGAGCACCACAAGGGGUGCGGCGUGCGGUUUAAUCUAACUCAACGCAGAGAACCUCACUAGGGGCGACGGCAGGAUGAAGAUCAGCUUGAAGAGCUUAUCUGACAAGCCGAGAGGUGGUGCAUGGCCGCCGUCAGCUCGUGCUGUGAAGUGUCCUCUUAAGUGAGGCAACGAGCGAGACCUGUAUCUGCAAUUNCUAACAGCCACAUGUGGGACUGAGCACUUUGCAGAGACUGCUCCGGAAACGGAGAGGAAGGUGCAGGCUACGGUAGGUCUGUAUGCCCCGAAUCCCCUAGGCUACACGCGCGCAACAAUGGUUAGGACAAUGGGAUGCAACUCCGAAAGGAGAAGCUAAACCUCUAAACCUAAUCCAAGUCUAGAUUGAGGCUUGCAACUCAGCCUCAUGACAACGGAAUCCCUAGUAAUACAGAAGUCAUCACCUUCUGGUGAAUA